AGAAAACAAUUUGUAGCUUGCUGAAGUCUCCGGAGUAGAAGAAAAUUUAAUAACAUCCCAGAAGGGAUAAGGAGGCAAAAUUUCCUGAUGAGGAUGAUCUCAGUGCCAGAGAGAGUGCUUGUGCCAGAGAAGUUACGGAUUAGCCCUGGUCCUGCUGAGUGAAGUUGCUUUUCCAGUCUUUGAAGUAAGCUGAUGUGACACAGACAGCCCUAGUGACAGAUGGGGCGAAAGGGCCACACACCCUAGACAGCGAGCUUCUGGCCCACACUUUGAACAGAAAGUGUCAGCUGUAUGAAUCUGAACCCCA
rnacentral:lncRNA from 1 species